rnacentral:rRNA from 1 species
UACGUAGGCAGCGAGCGUUGUUCGGCAUUACUGGGCGUAAAGAGUGUGUAGGCGGUGUUCCCAGUCUGUUGUGAAAUCUCCCGGCUUAACUGGGAGGGUGCAGCGGAAACUAGAAUGCUAGAGGGUGGGAGAGGUAAGCGGAAUUCCUGGUGUAGCGGUGAAAUGCGUAGAUAUCAGGAGGAACACCUGUGGUGUAGACAGCUUACUGGACCACUUCUGACGCUGAGACACGAAAGCGUGGGUAGCAAACAGG